rnacentral:rRNA from 1 species
AUUGAACGCUGGCGGCAGGCCUAACACAUGCAAGUCGAGCGGAGCGGCGGACGGGUGAGUAAUGCCUAGGAAUCUGCCUGGUAGUGGGGGAUAACGUCCGGAAACGGGCGCUAAUACCGCAUACUAUCAGAUGAGCCUAGGUCGGAUUAGCUAGUUGGUGGGGUAAAGGCCUACCAAGGCGACGAUCCGUAACUGGUCUGAGAGGAUGAUCAGUCAAACGGGAACCGAGAAACGGUCCAGACUCCUACGGGAGGAAGCAGGUGGGAAUAUUGGACAAUGGGCGAAAGCCUGAUACAGCCCGGGCGCGUGUGGGAAGAAGGUCUUCGGAGUUAAAAACCCUUUUAGUUGGGAGGCGUUACCAACAGAAUAAGCACCGGCCAACUUCGUGCCAGCAGCCGCGGUAAUUC